AGAACUCGACAUGUAUAAUUCGACAGAUUUUCUCUUCCAACUGAUGUGAUGUAGCAAGAUGAGCAACAAAAGAAGAAUCCCAAGAUAAUCACGUAAUUAUGUUAGGAGAGAUUCUCAGUUCAAUCUAAUCCUGUCUAAACAGGCUGAAAGAAAUUAGUCACUCAGAAUUAUAUAAAAGGCUCUAUUGAGUCUUGCAAUGGUAAACAACAGACCCUGGAGUUUGAGGACAACACCAAGGUACUGCCAUACUUGAGGUGGAGAUGGCGUUUCUCAGGAUCAAUUCAACAAGAAGAGCUAACUAUCCUAAAUAUAUAUGCACCCAAUACAGGAGCACCCAGAUUCAUAAAGCAAGUCUUUAGUGACCUACAAAGAGACUUAGACUCCCAUACAAUAAUAAUGGGAGACUUCAACACCCCACUGUCAAUGUUAGACAGAUCAACAAGACAGAAAAUUAGCAAAGAUAUCCAGGAAUUGAACUCGGCUCUGCACCAAGCGGACCUAAUAAACGUUUACAGAACUCUCCACCUCAAAUCAACAGAAUAUACAUUCUUUUCAGAACCACACCACGCCUACUCCAAAAUUGACCACAUAGUUGGAAGUAAAGCACUCCUCAGCAAAUGUAAAAGAACAGAAAUUAUAACAAACUGUCUCUCAGACCACAGUGCAAUCAUACUAGAAUUCAGGAUUAAGAAACUCACUCAAAACUGCUCAACUACAUGGAAACUGAACAACCUGCUCCUGAAUGACUACUGGGUACAUAACAAAAUGAAGGCAGAAAUAAAUAUGUUCUUUGAAACCAAUGAGAACAAAGACACAACAUACCGGAAUCUCUGGGGCACAUUUAAAGCAGUGUGUAGAGGGAAAUUUAUAGCACUAAAUGCCCACAAGAGAAAGCAGGAAAGAUCUAAAAUUGACACCAUAACAUCAUAAUUAAAAGAACUAGAGAAGCAAGAGUGAACACAUUCGAAAGCUAGCAGAAGGCAAGAAAUAACUAAGACCAGAGCAGAACUGAAGGAGAUAGAGAUACAAAAAACCCUUCAAAAAUCAAUGAAUCCAGGACCUGUUUUUUUAGAAAAGAUCAACAAAAUUGAUAGACCGCUAGCAAGACUAAAAAGAAGAAAAGAGAGAAGAAUCAAAUAGACACAGUAAAAAAUGAUAAAGGGGAUAUAACCACCGAUCCCACAGAAAUACAAACUACCAUCAGAGAAUACUAUAAACACCUCUAUGUAAACAAACUAGAAAAUCUAGAAGAAAUGGAUAAAUUCCUCGACACAUACACUCUCCCAA